UUUUUAAGUGUACUGGAAGGUUUAUCCUGGAAGGUUUCACUAUGGCUGAUAGUGUCCAUGGAUUGUGAUUCUCCCUGAACUAAUCCAAAAACAAGUGUA